UACGAAGGGGGCUAGCGUUGCUCGGAAUCACUGGGCGUAAAGCGCACGUAGGCGGCUUUUUAAGUCAGGGGUGAAAUCCUGGAGCUCAACUCCAGAACUGCCUUUGAUACUGAAGAUCUUGAGUUCGGGAGAGGUGAGUGGAACUGCGAGUGUAGAGGUGAAAUUCGUAGAUAUUCGCAAGAACACCAGUGGCGAAGGCGGCU
rnacentral:rRNA from 1 species